rnacentral:lncRNA from 10 species
AUUUGGGAAACCCCCAGUGAGAUGGAGUGUGCUUUUAAGCCAUGAAAACCAUGCACAUCAGCCCCACCACAGAGCCUGUGUGAUUUCAUCUUAGAUGGUAUCUUGGAAGCAAGACCUACCUGGACUUUUUAGAAAUCUAAUCUAAUCAUUUUCUGUCUUGGAGUAGAUUAGAACUUUUAUCUGGCGGCACCAUCACCCUGGGAGACUCCAAAACAGAAAACCAGACAGACAGUGGUUACAAAAUAAAAGACCUGUGUUUGCAGGUAAGGGGAUUUCUCCAUUCUGACCAUCCAGAUUGCGGACUAGAGAAUCUAUCUCUUUGGGUAAGAUGAAAAUGGAUGAAAUUCAAGCUGUGUUUGAAAUAAAGAUUUCAUAAGUUAUUAUUGUUGGUUCCAAAGUAUUAGGCAAAAACUACAGGGGUACCUGGGGAGCCCACAGAGCAGGACACAGGAAGCAGAAACCUCUCUUAGGAUGGUACAGGCAGGGGCACCAACUCUGUCCUCCUGAACUGGAGGAUCACCUUCACACAUUAAAGUUGUGAGCUCAGCUGGGUAAAAUGCACACUACACAGAUACCCCUGAAGCAUGCGACAUUCCCCAACACCCCCAGCUUUGGCUGUAACAGAACUAGUGUGGAUGCCAAAACAAGAUGCCCCACAUGGUUAAAGAAUCUGACGACUCUUUUUGUAGAGGAGUAGUCGACUAUGUCAUUGUUAUUCCCAAAGAUGGAAGGCAGAAUCAUCAGAAAUUACAGUGACAGGGGUUCCUGCUCGGUAGUAUGCCGAAAAGGGAGUUGAAAGGCACAAGUGCGGACAAGAGGAUCAAUCAAAGCUCCGUUCUGUUCCCAAUCCUUCCAGUCCCGAUGCUCCAGAGAGCAGGGGAGGCACCUGUACACAGGUACUGGGCAUGACUGAUGAGGCAGUGCCCAGGAGCCCAACUUCCUCGAAGCGAGAGAAAGGACAGAGAUGCUAAGAUCUGCACACUUCCACAUUUUAGAGAAUUUGGGAGACCCAUGUUGGAUGUGGACCGUGGUUCUUAUUGGUAUUAUUUUCUGAGUGGUAGAUGUGCUUAAUCCCAGCACCUGCCUAAACUGAUGACAACAGCGGCUUUCCUACUGGAAGGACAUUGCCACUUGAUAGCAUAUGCUGUACCUCGCUUGCAUGUCCCUGCUUCCAAGCUUUGGGGAUUUCUAGGAUUGUUUUCUCCUAGUUUCCUUGUGUCACGUGGGCUCCUUUAUAAAAUAUCCCCAUAUAAUAGUGCAUGAUGUGCUCUAUUACAAAACACAAAUGUGUCUGUCCAAGACAGCCUGGGGGCAGCGAGCUGGGGCGUGGCAAGGAGACCAACUGGAAUGACGGGAGAGCCCUAGUGGAUGCACAGUGCACCGCUCUUACACCACAAGCCUCCCGCCCCAGCAUGAUUUAACCCGUGAAGAAAGCAGAGCAUUUAAUAUGUUCUACAGAUGUUUUAAAAAAGGAAUAACGGCGCUUGUCCCAAGUGUGGGAUGGAGGCACACACUCUUCUGAGAUGUGAAGCAAAUUUCAUAUCUCAAAAGAGAAAAAGGACAACAGUUCCUGCUCAGUCACCAAGUCUGAUUCUCAACCCUGGAACGCCUCAGCCUGCCUGAGCCCAGAAAUGAGGCUCCUUGUGAACACUAUGGAAAUGCAAUGGCUGUUUUGAUUUUCCAUAAUGGACAGCACACUGGUCCAGGAGGCAUAUCCAAUCUAAAUGAACUAGCAUCUGUGAAACUUCCUAGCACAGUCCCAGCACAUCGCAGGAGCUGAACUAAUGUUCUUUUCCCUUCCCAAGGAACCCUGAAGCCUUUGAAGGAACCGUGAUUGGGAAGGCAUCAGCAUUUGCUUUUCGCUGGUAUAAAUUUGGACCACUGGUCUGCCCGGGGUGUCCCCUGCCAGUGGUCGUGGACUGCUAGGGAAGCACAGCACACCCCCCAACACCCCCCCGCAAGGAAGACCCCUCAUUGCCCACCAAUGUCCUCUUUCUGGCGUCCCUCACGUUCCUGGCCGAGACCCUCCGUUCAGUCACGCCAUGAGGUCAGGGCCACGGUUGCCAUUGUCUGCUGGAAGCCAGUGCAGCACUUGGAGCUUAGAAGAUGCACACAACUCUUUGUUAAAGAACAAAGAAAUGGGAGAAACUUUUUAAAAGAAAAUAAACAGAGAGAAAGAGGGUGAGACGAAGACUGUGGCUGAGGCUUUGUUUUCAGGCCGAAAGCAGGACACUCAGCUCAUUCUCAAUGAAACUUCAACAUCGAUAAUUCAAAUGUCUUAGAAAUUGUACAUUGGAAGGGGAAAUAAAAUGAUUUUUCAGCUCUUUUAGGCUUACAGAUACCUAAAUGAAGCAUAGAUUGUAGAAUGUUGUUCAGAAGGGAAUUAAAUUUGGAUUUCAUCCUUCCCAGGGACUGGGGGCACUGCUUGUCACUUUGACUCAAAUGGAGAGUCCCUGCCACUGCUUGCUUGCCUUCAUCUGACCACACUGUGCUAAGCGCCCAGCCCCAGGGUAUAGCUGAGCCCUGCACCAGCUGCAGUGAACCGCUUGGCCGGGUGCCCUCUUAGAUCCUCCCUGCCCUGUUCCCUGGCUCUCUGUCCCCUGCGGUCCUCUUCUCUAGGACUGUUGAAACUUCUCCGCAUCUGGUCAGCUUCACACAAAAGGGCUCCUAUUUUACAGGCUGAGAGCCCCUUCCUGUGUGUUGUCAAAACUGACACAUCGCAUUGCUUAGGUUUAAUCUUCAGGUACUUUUUCUGUUUUUUUACCUAUAAAAUUAAUAUAAGCAUAUGCUCCCGUAAUCAACACAAUUUAGAUAAAGCAAGAGUUCCUCUGGGCCCUCCCACUUCCAUUUGCAUUUUCUUUUCUGUGGACUAACUGGUCAUCUUCUUUAUCCACUUGUCUAUGAGGUUGUUGAUCUUGGUCUUUUUUCUUAUUAACAGAUAGGAAUUCUUCAUAGAGCCUAGAUAACAAUCCAGAAUUCAUGUGUAUACGCACGCAUUUAUCUAUAUGUAUAUGUAUAAGCACAUUACACACAUACAUUUGCACACAUACAAAUGUUAGAAAUAUCUUCUCCAACUCUGUUGCUUGUCUUUUAUCUCAGCUUAUAGAGGUUUCCGAUUUUGAAUCAGAAGUUUCACAUUUCAUUGAAGGUAGACAUCACUCUUUCUCUAUUUGCUUUUGUGAUUUGUGUCUUGCUCAAGGCCUUCCCUGUCCUACCCCCAUGUCAAAAGCAUGUUCUCCACUAUUUUCUUUCAGUCCUUAAUCUUUCUUCCGUAGGUAGCCAAUGUCCAGCACGUUUGGUAAUGACACCUCCUCGGUGAAGCGCAAGGCCACCUUGACCCCAGCUCCCAUGGGUCUGUCUUCAGGGGAAUUUUGAGGUUGUUUUUGCUGCAGGGUGUCAGGAACUCCUUCCUCUCUGAUUCUUGGAAAAGUUUACUGUUUGCUGCUGGCUUUGUGGUCUCUCCUCCCUGUGCAGGUAGGGUGUGGAGGGUAAUCAGAGUCAGUCCAGAGGUUGCUCAAAGUUUCAGUUUAUCUCCAGCCACUAUUUGCUAACUCAUCUGAGAAUUCUGCCAAGAUAAACAUCAGACAGACCCUCCUAUGGUUCAAUCAGUCUGCUCCUGGGAAAAUUAGGACAUGUGUCUGCCCGGCUCUGCUGGUGUUCCUGAGAGUGACUGGUCUCUGUGUGACCUUUCAUUGGCCAGGCUCCCCCAAGGGAAACGUCCACCAGCAGAAAAAGUAGGAAAAAAAUCCCUUUAUGCAGAGAAAAUACACUGCAGAAACAAACAUAGUCUAACCCUGCCUUUUAAAACAUAGCUUUUAGACUGAAAGAGUUCACCCUUCCUCUCUCCACCUGGUCACUCUUGGGAUGACAAUUUCAAAUCCCACAUAACAUUCACAGUGUGUUAUUCCCAUGCAAUUACCUUGUUAGGUUUCAUACAUUUAGAACACGGAGGGGGACAGGGGAUGCUUCUCCGCAGUCUCUUCGUUAUUGGGACAUACUCCAACGCUCAGACAGCUCCACAAUGCACCUUUCUCCCACUCUUCAUUCCUUUUCUGGCAACACUCUUUCUCUCUCAGAGGAUUUUAAAAACAUGUCUUGUUACAAAAAGCAAAGAAUGACAGUUGCUUCAGAAAAAUACCCAACUGAAAGAUCCACUCCCUGACCAUGGAGAGCUCACUACAGAUCUAGAAACGCGAGGCAGAGACUUGAAGAUGCUGCACACAUCCUGUGUGGGAGUGGGAGAAAAGCUGCUGCUUCCUUAGCAUUAAAACAGACAGGGUCAUUUCAGCCUUGCAGGGGAUGACCAGCCCUCACUGGAAUUAUGUGAUGGCAUCACAUUUGCUCCUCAUGUAAACAUUCCAGCGGGAGAACGACUGCUCCCUGAAGACACUCAUGGUGUGAUAAACAGCAGUCAGUGGAAUCAAGGCAGGGGCGAGGUCCUCUUCCUUCUGCCUCCUUCUCACCAUGGCACCUUGAGAGAGGCCCUUUGUCCCUCGGGUUUUUCCAUUUUCUCAUUUGCAAAAUGAAGAGGAUCCCAUCUACACCGUCGUGUUUAGAAAUGACACAAGAUCACAAAAACCUCUGCCGCCUCGAAGAUACAGAAUUGCUGGUGAGGCUCGUUGUCUGAGAGCCGGGCUCUGCUCCCCUCGGGGCCAAGUCUACCAAUUGUUCUUUGGAAAACAAAAGCUGGAGGCAUUAAAACUGGGCUGUUCCAAGUGUUCUUUACGUUUUAUAAAUUUUAUAAGGUGAAACUCAAUAUUUAGAUGAUUGGUAGAAACGUCUCUUGGGGGCUUUAUGGUUUUCUAACAUAGAGUGGGGGGACAUGUUACCUCGGCAGGAGCAUGUGGGCUGAGAGGAGGGAACCACAUCAGGGAGGCCGGUGACUGGAGAGGGAAGUCCUCCUCCUGUGGAGGGCCUGGCCCUCAUGGAUUCCCCACUUCCAGGCAACUUUGUGACCUCAGAGAAGCUAACCUGAUGUGCAUGCUACUGACGUUGCCCAUGCCGCUCCUGCUGGCUGAUGGAACUAUCUGUCUGGAGUCUGUGGAUGGCAGACCUCCUGAUUGUGUGGAGCGUGAGUUUUUCGAAAGAGAUCUCUCACUUUCAUCCAGGCUGGAGUGUAGUGGCACACACCACCACACCAGGAUAAUUCUU